UGGUUGCAGUUCUAAUGGGACAUCUACUGCCGAUCUGCUUCCUCCUCAUCCCUCCUCCUCCUCCUCUACUUAAAUCUACCACGCAUCGCUUCUGAAUCUCCCUAUUUCAAUCUCCCCAGAUCCCCCAUGUUCCUAUUCUGCCUCACUUUAUUGUUUCUGUCGGCUAAAGUUUUGAUUUUCACCGGCAGUUUUCGAUAAAGGGUCGAACUUUUGAAUUCAGCGACGAGGAGGAGGAGGAAGAAGAAGAAGAAAAGAAGAGAAAGAAGAGAAAGAAGAGAAAGAAGAAGAAGAGUAGAUUGGUUGUACUGGUCGAAAUCCUUCAUCCAGAACUCCCUUCCUCAUUCCGAAGAAGAGAAAGUCGGCCAAGCGUAAGAAGACGGCCGUCGCCACUGCCGAUCUUCUUGCUAAAGAUAAUGGUAAUCACGACGGCAGGGCGCCGCCUCUACCUUAGGAGAUCAAGGAGCAUGAUGGCGGAUCUACCGCGUCUUCUUCCUCCGCGUCUUCGUCCCCUCGGGAAGACCAUUGUUCUCGACCUGCCAAAGAGUUCUCAGGUUCUGAACUCGUUGCCUUUGAUGGCUCAACGGAAGGAGCGGUCUUGGCCCAGAACGACGAAGAAAAGGAGUUUUCUAUCGUUGUGAAGGAAGCGACAUUCAGCUCUACCACAGAGUCAUUUCCUAAAUCCAAGGAUUCCAUUGUCGAAGAUACUAAAUAUCAGGAGGAACAUGAGGAAGCUGUUGAUGAAUCUGCUAUGCCAGUUGAAAAGAUUGUUGUUUUGGCUGAAGAGGAGAGGCAAGUUGAUGAGAUUGCUUUGGCUGAAGUCCAAGUGAAAGUAGUGCUGCUUCCGGAUGCAGAUGAGAUGGCUAAACAACUCAAUGAGAGUCAUGGAGACCGCUGCUGUGGUGGCAGAGAUGAGACUCUGCCUACAGCUGAGGUGCUGAAGUUCUAACUUUUAUUGCGCUAAUUCAUCUAAGUCAAUUAGUGUGCUGCUUAGUGAAUGACUUGAUACAUGUAUCUUACUCUGCCUCCUCCGGUCAUCGUCAUUAGUCGUACAUCAUGGCGGAGUUGUUGUGGCUUGCUUGAUGUCUUUGCAGGUUCUUAGUGAUUAAAUGAGGUAAAUGCUUAGUUCGAAGAUCUUCUACCUUCUCAGUAGAAUGUCAACUUUUCAGGUAGAUCUCUGUUUGUUGUGUUGGGGUAAGAAAGUUGUUCAGCUACGGCCAUUUGCUCUUGUCUAGGAUGAACUGAAUAUUGACAAGUGUCCACAAUUAUCAGCUUCUGGUCUGAUUCAAGCCAUUCUCCAUCAGUAGUAUAUGCAUUACAUUUUUGUAGCAAAUAAGUUAGCUGAUGAGUGAGGGCAAAGAUGAAAGCUUAGGAUGUCUGGAUACUAGAACCUAUGACUAAGUUUUAGCACAUUUGUUCCAAUUGAGAGCAAAUAGAUAUGAUAGUUAUGAUGUGGCUUAAGGUUAUUUUGUUCUCGUACUAGUUGGGUAGACAACCAAAUAUAGCAAAAGAAAUAGUUAAUCAACAUAUGUAUGACUUAGGUAUCUUGUAGGAUGGAUGAUUAAAAUGUUUCAUUUAAAGUUCACCGGCUGAAUGAAGCUUGCUGAAAAAACUAACAAAUCUAUUCUGUGUUGACACCCAUUUUGAAGCUACUUCUUGUUUAAUUUAUGUAUCAGUUAUAAUAUGAUUUAUCUUCCUUUUCUGGUUAAAAUUAAGCAAAUUUUCUGUACAGUAAUUGAAGUUAGCUUCAGAAUAUUAUUCUUGCUACUAAACAAGGUAUCCUAGUUUGUGAAAAUAUUAUACAUUAGCAUGCUUGCAAUUGUCAAAAUUCUUAUUCUUUUCAGAUAAGCUGAGAGGCCAUAUUAGCCUAAGAGAUAGUUCAAGGCGAGAUACUAAUAAUGAUUAACAAUUUUUUUAUGAACCAUAUAGAUACUGUAUGAAGGAUAAUACAGGAUAAGUGCUUCAGAUAUAAGACACUGAUUGUACUUAACAAAUUGUAUGGUGCUAACUUUGGAAAAAAUAGUUGUCUGCUAGGGACGAUCCUUCAAAGACAAACUCAAGAAUGAAUCAUAAAGAAUCAUUAGCUUAAUGGUUUUGCCCUUGGUGGACUCUUCAUCUACUCUUUCACACUCUGGGUUGACAAUCAAAAUCUCUAAAUAUCAGUCAAGCAUAACUAUUCCUUUUAAGAUUAUUCUAGAGAAUCUAGUUGUCUUUUAGCAGCUUGGCUGCAUAGUUGUAGCUAAUACAUUGCAUUAUUGGUGAUGCAGAACUUGAUUGCUGGGUUUGAGAUGAGUAUUUGCUAUCAGUCCCUGGGGUUUUAUGCAACUCUUGUUGUAUUUCUUGUUUGGACGGUUUCAUACUCUUAUAUCUCUGCGUUUGUUGUAAUCAAAUUUAUGGUGUAACUUGUUCUAAUUAACCUAUUAGGAUGUGUACAAUCUUCGAGUUCAUUAAUCUCUCCUUCCAUAACCAUGUUUUGGACUCUUAAAACAAGGCUUAAGAGAGAUUUUGUUAACCAUGUCAUACACACCUAACAGAACUAGCAGUCAAUUUCAGAAUCAGAUUCUGAAAAGCAAAUGCAGUGAUUUCAAGCGUUUGAAUCCUACGUUAUUGCAUGCAUCGGUGAAGAUCCAAGGCUUCACUGCCAAUAAAGAUUUGCACAAUUAUUCUAGGAAAAGAAACUGGUAAUUUGUAAAAACACACGACACACCAAAGUCCAUACAAUUUUUUUCGACACUGUUUUUCUUCACUUCCUAGCAGCAGUUUCCCAAGCAUCAUUUUAUUCUAACAAGCAGCAAUUCACACUUAGCUAAAGUAACGCAGUCGUGCUCAGAAACAAGCAAGAUCAUCAUAUUAGGAACCAUAAAUAUAGGAUUGAAGCUUCAAAUAUGUACCUCACAAGGAGCAUCUCGAUCUCAUUUGCCACGGCCUGUGAGCUCCUUGUCCAUGGCCUCGUUAGCUGCUUCCUGGUCCUCAUCAAGGAAGAUAUCCCAAUCCCCGUCCCACUGGGGAUUUGAAGCUAAGACAAGGAUUGACAAUGUUCGUGACAGCUUUAUAAGUCUAUAUAACGAGUAUGUAGGCCACUGCUAAUUCUUCAAAACUUCAAACCUUUUAUGCUGGGAACACUAAUGGCUACAGUGGGAGUGAAUAUGUACAUGGUGGAGACUGCAAGACUUCUCGCAUCACAUUGUCUGAUACACAGCGUGGAUUGGAUCGGUAUCUUAAAGAGACAUCCUCCGGUCAUCCAGCAAGAUCAGAUUUGGAUAUGUACUUGGAAGAGGCUGUGCAUCCCUCAAAAGGUUCUGAAGACAAUUUUGAUAUCCUGGCAUGGUGGAAAUAUAAUGCUGCUAAAUAUCCUGUGCUUUCUAUGAUGGCCCGUGAUAUUAUGGGCAUUCCUAUUUCAGUCGUUUCAUUAGAUAGUGAAGCAAGAACUCUAAAUCAGUAUUUAAGUUCAACAGAUCCAGCGAUUAUAGAAUGCUUGAUAUGUUCACGAGAUUGGAUAGGAAAUGAAACAGAAGUGUCUCCCGUGGAUGCUCUUGCAAUUAUUCCUUCCACAGCAUGCUUGGAGAUCAAUGGUGAUGAGUGCAUGCUACCUGCUGGUUGUGACUAGACUUCAUUGUGAAUCUGGUACUUUGCUCUCACCUUUUCCCCUUCAACUUAUUGUAUCAUUUGCGAAUCUCAUAUUUGGUGAUUAUUGUCUAAUUUGUUAAAAUAUGAGAUUUUUGUAUGAUGUUUUAACUGUCUUUUGAUAUAUGUCUAUUAUUACUCUUAGGCAA